CUGUUCUGCAUUAUGGAUUCAUUUCUGUACUCUCUUCCUCAAUGUACAAGUAAAGUGACAGUUAUAUAAAACCAUACACAAUAAAAUCAGGACUAUAAUAACAAAAUGAUAUAAGAAUGAUUUCAUUAUCUGGGAUCCAGUAGGGGACCAACCAGUAAAGCAUUGUACCAAUGAUGGGCUAAAUCAUUCUGAAUUUGUGAACUCACCUUAAGGAGUUCUCCUUUUAGGAUAUGUGUGGCUACCUGUGUGUGUUAUCUUUGGGAAAAAUAUAGUCCCCUGUGUAUGUGGGUGCCCACCAGGUUAAAUUCUUGGCAAAAAGAUCAUAAACUGGUACUGGCAAUGUGUUAAAUUGACAAGCUAAUUUAACAUCCUUUGAUGAUGUAUGAUAUAAUGUAAAAUAGCAUGAGCAUGAAAAAAUGUGAAACAUUACCAGUUAACCAUCCAUUGCAUUUAGUGGAUUGGGGUUUUAGAAGUAACCAUUCAUUAUCUGUGAGGUUAAGCAUCCCUCUAAUCUUCUCUAGUUUAGGAAUCAUUAGUGUGUUUUCUAAUGCCAAUCCUUGUUGUUGUAUCCAUAAAUACCUGAUGGCACAGGUACUCCAGUUACUUAAACCUGUAGUGAAUUUCAUAGUUGCAACAGUUAAAUUAUCUAAAUAAUUAUACAUUGAUUUAUCUAAAUCCAAUCCUGUAACCUGUGAUUUAACAACAAUUGGAGCCCAGUUUGCAGUAGCAUGGAAACCAGUCCCUAUAUGCAUGCUGGCUGUGUUUAACUUAUUCUUGAGGGUCUCCAUAUCUAUAACUAUUUAGUAUACCCAUAGUGGUUCCAGCACCUCCUAACAGUGUGUCAUACCAUUCCCUUUUCUGCCUUUGUUUGCUGUGUUACAUAAUGUUACAACAAGAGUAGUGACUUUUAAUGACACAUGUACAGCUUGUAAGAAGGCAGUUGUAUUAACACAUGUGGACGGAAUAGGUGUGUGUGUGUCGUGGUUGACUUUUGGUUCUAUGGUAGAGGAUAAAGGACAGUAAUAAGGUGUAAAAAUAUAAGGUAGUGUAUAGUUCUCAAUUGUAGUGUCGUUCAUAAUGACUAACAUUUGUCCCCUUUUCCAAUUAAUGAUACCAGUUAUAUAAUCAUUAUUAAAAGUAAUAAGGCCUGUCUGUUUACAUUGAUAUGCAACCUUAACUGUGCACAUUUCUGCGUUAUAAGAUCUAACAAUUUUCUGUGAACCUUUAAACAAACAUAAUGCAUCGGUUUCAUUAGCUGUAGACACAUUUCAUAUGGGUAACUGGUACUUAUAAGGGUUACUAUUUGUCCAAUUCAUCCAAAUGCGUUCAGUGAAUGAAUGAUUGCAUAUUGCAUGCUGAUAGAAAGGUGGUGGAGAAAGGUUCUUGAGGGGGCGUGUGUGACGAAUGCUAGAUGAGGGGCUAAGGCCUAAUUGGGCUGGGGGUAUUGAAGAAUUGUUCAUCAUGUCAGAGUCUUUUUUCCAGAAACAAACAGGUUUCAAACUUGCCAUUGACUUGUACUCAUAAUGGCAUUCAAGGAACAAUAUCAGAGGGAGUAUAACAACUCCAGAAAGCAUAGCGCACAACAUAAUCUUGGUCUCAGGUACGUAUGAUCCUCUCAAUCUACGAUAUGGUGUAAAAGCCAUGAUGCUUCGCUGAGGAGAAAUUCUUCUGUUUCCGAGCGAGGAGUGGUGUUGUCUUCCUUGGUUCCCCUCUUUGGACACAGCUUCACUCGGGAUGCGUGAAUCCAGAUGUCAUGGGAAUCUGUGAGGACAGCGGUUCUGGGUACAGCAAUCACAGUAGCAGGUGGUCCAAAAGGGUAUCCUCCUUUCUUGGUCCUGUUCAACUGACGGAUAUACACCUUGUCACCGGGCUGGUAUGAAUGAGUAGGUUCCUGUGAAGGUAAGGGAAAACUGCGAAGAAACAUUGUCAUACAUACCAUUCGGUUUUAUCAACAAUUCCUGUACAUAUUGUUCUUGUAUUAGCUGUAAAUCCCCAGACAUUAUAACAAGCGGUUCCCUGGCCCAGGGUGUGGGAAAAGGUCAUCCCAUCAAAAAUCUCAGAUGGAGAUAAUUUAGUCACCUUGUGAGGAAUCACUCUUAUCUCAGCUAAAAUAGCUGGUAGAUAUCUAGUCCAAUUUACCCAUGUUCCUGGGUAAAUUCUGGGCUUUUCCUUAAUAGUCCUAUUCAUCCUUUCAACUACCCCUGUAUUCUGUGGAUGAUAGGGUAUAUGAAACUGCCAGGUAACUUGCAAGAAUUUAGCAAGUUCCUGGGCAACCCCACUUGCAAAAACCGGGCCAUUAUCAGAGCCAAUCUGCAGAGGGCAGCAAUACCGGGGAAUAAUUUCAGUAACAAUAAUCUUCACUAGCAUCUUCCCUAGAUGUCACAAAGGCCUCAUGCCAUCUACUAAACUGAUCAACUAUGACCAGUAAGUAUUGCUGUUUCUUACCAAUUUUGGAUACAUGAAUAAAAUCAAUCUGUAAGUGUGUAAAAAGAGCAGCGUUCACACGAUCUUACAAAAGACUGUACAUGCUGCCUAAGAUUCCUAAUAUAAAAUGAAUUCAUGAAGAAUUGAAUGGUGCUUGCUAUGUGCCUGACUGAUGAAAAUAAAUCAGCUUGCUUCAAGUAUGCCUAUUCUUCAAGUAUGCCUAUUCUCCCCUCUUUAGAGAACAGAUCAUUUUGAUCUUUCUCUAAACCUUGUUUAAUCCAAAAGACAGAUUCUGGGUAUUUAAAAAAAGAAUCUCAUAACCACUGAAGCGCUGGGCUGUCAUGUGUUGUGUGGUGAGAUUUGUCAUCAGCUGAGUGACCUGGUGACUGGCAUGAAGUAUUGUAGGAUGCCCUAGUGUGAUAGUAGUAGCAGUUUCAACAGCCAUUGCACAUGCUAUCAAUGCUCUGAGACACGCCGGCAUACCCUGUACCGGAGCUUGAACUACUUUGGAAAAGAAUGCUAUGGGACGCAUACCGCCUCCUUGCUCUUGUGCACAGACUGCGGCCAUGGUUUUACAAUUGUCCCAAGCAUACAAAUGAAAUGGUUUACAAUACACAGGUAGUCCUAAAGCCUGGGCUUGCACAAUAACAACUGUAAGGGCAAUAUAUGCAGCUAGCAUGUCUGGUGACCAGCAGACAUUUUCAGGGCUGUCAGAACGUACAGCCUCCCUUAGGAUUGAGUCAUAAUGGGAGCAUUCAGGGAUCCAUUGGUGGCAGUAAUUAAUCAUGCCGAGGAAGGUGAGCAACUCCUUCCGAGUAGUGGGUGUUGGAAUCCUCUGAAUGACCUCAAUACGUUUUGGACUCAAUUGUCUGGUGCCUAAAGCCAGAACAAAACCUAAGUAUUCAACCUUUGAUUUACACAAUUGCAUUUUGUGUUUAACAACCUUGUGACCCACAGUUGCUGACAGUAUCCACAGUGCUUGCCUCAUAGCUAGGGCUACAUAACAACAAAUCAUCAACAUUUUGCAAAAAGGACGGAACCAUGACCGGUGGUCCAUGUUGUUUAGAGUAUGUUGGAGUACCAACGAAUAAACAGCUGGGGAAUCCACAUAGCCUUGGGUAAGCGUGUCCAGGUAAACUGACAGCCUUCAAAAAGUAAAAACCAUAAGUAGCUGUGUCUCUUGAUCAAUAGGUAUAGAAAAAAUGCAUUACUUAAAUCAAUGACAGUGAAGCAAGUGGCAUCAUGUGGAAUGGCUGUAAUGAGGGAUGUCACAUCAGGGACAAUGGGUGAAAUGGGCACAAUUAAACUAUUCAGGGCUCUAAAGUCCUGAACUAAGCGAUAUGCUGGCCAGUGGUGUUGGGAGUGGGUCUGGUGUUGUUCUUGCCUACCGGGCAUAUUUUGAGAAUUGUGGGGUUGUUGGGGUGUGUGGGGUUUCCUGGGGUGUGGACACUCAUUCCUCCAGUGGCCAUAUUGGCCACAGUUGAAACAAGUGUUCCUGUCUAUUCCUCCUUGGUUACCCCUGCCCCUAUAACCCUGAUUUCCCUGUCUCCAUCCCCUUGCCCCUCUUUGACCACCCCUUCCACGGGCUUUAUGUGCUCCAUCCCAUCCUCGCUCUCAGCCUGUGUAGGUGGCAAUCCCUGAGCAUAAUA
rnacentral:lncRNA from 1 species